UACGGGGGGGGCAAGCGUUGUUCGGAAUUACUGGGCGUAAAGGGCUCGUAGGCGGCCAACUAAGUCGGACGUGAAAUCCCCAGGCUCAACCUGGGAACUGCGUCCGAUACUGGAUGGCUUGAAUCCGGGAGAGGGAUGCAGAAUUCCAGGUGUAGCGGUGAAAUGCGUAGAUAUCUGGAGGAACAUCAGUGGCGAAGGCGGCCAUCUGGGACAACACUGACGCUGAAGCACGAAAGCGUGGGGAGCAAACAGG
rnacentral:rRNA from 1 species